UACAGAGGUCUCAAGCGUUGUUCGGAUUCAUUGGGCGUAAAGGGUGCGUAGGUGGCGCCAUAAGUCAGGUGUGAAAUCUCGGGGCUCAACCCCGAAACUGCACUUGAUACUGUGGUGCUCGAGUACUGGAGAGGAGAUUGGAAUUCCCGGUGUAGCGGUGAAAUGCGUAGAUAUCGGGAGGAACAUCAGUGGCGAAGGCGGCUACCUGGCCCAAUACUGACACUCAGGUGCGACAGCGUGGGGAGCAAACAGGG
rnacentral:rRNA from 1 species